UACGUAGGGUGCAAGCGUUGUCCGGAAUUAUUGGGCGUAAAGAGCUCGUAGGCGGUUUGUUGCGUCGGCUGUGAAAUCCCGAGGCUCAACCUCGGGUCUGCAGUCGAUACGAGCAAACUAGAGUGUUGCAGGGGAGACUGGAAUUCCUGGUGUAGCGGUGAAAUGCGCAGAUAUCAGGAGGAACACCGGUGGCGAAGGCGGGUCUCUGGGCAACAACUGACGCUGGAGGAGCGGAAA
rnacentral:rRNA from 1 species